rnacentral:rRNA from 1 species
CUCUACGGGAGGCAGCAGUGAGGAAUUUUUCGCAAUGGGCGAAAGCCUGACGGAGCGACGCCGCGUGUGGGAAGAAGGCCUUCGGGUCGUAAACCACUGUCGAAGGGGACGAGUAACUCGACGGUACCCUUCGGAGGAAGCCCGGCUAACUACGUGCCAGCAGCCGCGUAAUAC